GAUGAACGCUGGCGGCGUGCUUAACACAUGCAAGUCGAACGGAAAGGCCCAAGCUUGCUUGGGUACUCGAGUGGCGAACGGGUGAGUAACACGUGGGUGAUCUGCCCUGCACUUCGGGAUAAGCCUGGGAAACUGGGUCUAAUACCGGAUAGGACCACAUUUUGGAUGGUGUGGUGGAAAGUUUUUCGGUGUGGGAUGAGCUCGCGGCCUAUCAGCUUGUUGGUGGGGUAAUGGCCUACCAAGGCGUCGACGGGUAGCCGGCCUGAGAGGGUGUACGGCCACAUUGGGACUGAGAUACGGCCCAGACUCCGACGGGAGGCAGCAGUGGGGAAUAUUGCACAAUGGGCGCAAGCCUGAUGCAGCGACGCCGCGUGGGGGAUGACGGCCUUCGGGUUGUAAACUCCUUUCGCUAGGGACGAAGCGUUAUGUGACGGUACCUGGAGAAGAAGCACCGGCUAACUACGUG
rnacentral:rRNA from 1 species